GUCUACGGCCAUGCUACCCUGAACACGCUCGAUCCCGUCUAUUCUUGGAAGCUAAGCAGAAUCGGGACUGGUUAGUUAGUACUUUGAUGGGAGACCACCUAGGAAGACCAGGUGCUAUAGGCA
ensembl:rRNA 5S_rRNA 5S ribosomal RNA